GACGGAGGGUGCCAGCGUUGUCCGGAAUUACUGGGCGUAAAGCGCUCGUAGGCGGUCGCAUACGGCAGUGGUUAAAGCUCCCGGCUCAACUGGGAGAGGUCCAUUGCAACGGUGUGACUUGAGGGUGGUAGAGGCAGAUGGAAUUCCUGGUGUAGCGGUGAAAUGCGUAGAGAUCAGGAGGAACACCCAUGGCGAAGGCAGUCUGCUGGGCCACACCUGACGCUGAGGAGCGAAAGCUAGGGGAGCGAACGGG
rnacentral:rRNA from 1 species